UACGUAGGGGGCUAGCGUUGUCCGGAAUCAUUGGGCGUAAAGAGCGCGUAGGCGGCCCGGUAAGUCCGCUGUAAAAGUCAAAGGCUCAACCUUUGAAGGUCAGUGGAUACUGCCGGGCUAGAGUCCGGAAGAGGCGAGUGGAACUCCUGGUGUAGCGGUGGAAUGCGCAGAUAUCUGGAGGAACACCGGUGGCGAAGGCGGCAUCCUGGACCAACACUGACACUGAGGAGCGAAAGCCAGGGGAGCAAACGGG
rnacentral:rRNA from 1 species